GGCAUCGAGGCGGUGGAGAAGAAGCUGAAGCCUCUGGUCUUGGAGCACACCAGAGGGUUGUGCCAGAUCCUGGAGAAGGACUCUGACCUGAAAAUGAAGAAGCCGUUUGAGGCGUGAUCGGUAUACUGAAAGCCUGCAAAGACGGAGCAAUGGAGUGCAUUUCAGGUUUGGCCUCCAGCCGUGCCCUGUGUAUAUGAG